AGAUUCACUUGCUUAUCUGGACUCCAGUCUAACCUCACUUGCAACUACUUCAGUCGUGUGGGGGUGGUUGAUAAGCCCUGUCAGAGCUUAAUCCUGUCUAAACGUUCAGAUGUUUAGUUCCUGUUGAGUGCUUCUCUACUAGGGACGUACGUAUUCUUCUCUCUUUUUUUUUCUCUCCUGACGUCCAUAAUUACAGACAGAGAUUGAAAAGUAACCUUGAGAGAGUCCCUCCCUUGAUUCCAGGACCAAAAGACAAAGAUCUUCAUAUUUAAAGGACCCACCAGCUACCCACAGUGACUGAAAAAGGACCUAUGUUAAAGCACACCAUUAAAAAGAUCAGAACACUAAGAAUAAAGAGAAGAUUCUAAAAAUUUUCAGAGGGAAGCCGCAGGAAUAAAUGGAUGGGAAUUAGAAUGGCAUUGGGUUUCUCAACAAUAACACUUUUAUGCUAAAACACUACAGUGAAAUUUCAAGUUUUGUAAGACAAUAACUUCCAACCUAGAAUCCUAUAGUCAAACUAUCCAUCAAGUGUAAGAAUAGAAUAAAAACAUUUUCACAUAUACAAGGAUGAAAACAUUUAUUUUCCAUCCAUCCAUCCACCUUUUUUUUUUUUUU